UGACUUUUUCUUUGUCACGGGCAUUGGAUGUCCGCGGCGUUUGUUGUUGUGUUUUUGUUGUUUUGCGACGGGAUCCUAUGACGACGCUUCUCGGCAAGAACCAAAAACAUCUAAAGGACGCCAGAUCGCAACAAAACCUCGCAAACGGCGCGGAGCCACGGGGUAACGAUGGAGCUCGGGCGUGGGGAGACAUUCAGAGUGACGGGAGUGUUCUACAGAGCCAGCUGGUGGAAUCUCAAGAUGGCAUCAAGAGGCUGCAAGCAUCCAGCAGACGCAUUUGCGAUGUCUGCGGCCAAUUUAUCAAGACAAGAGCGAUACAGUACUCUGUGGAAGCGUCUGCUAAGAUGUGUGAGGCCUACAAGGCAUAUUUCGGCAUGCCUGUCGGGGAUCAAGAAAACCCUGGGCACCUCAUUUCACCUGCGAGCAAUGCAAAACAACUCUGGAAGGAUGGUACAGAGGAGAAAAGAGAGCCAUGAAGUUCGCUAUCCAAAAAAUUUGGCGGGAACCCACUGACCACUCAAGCAACUGCUACUUCUGCAUGGUGGACCCUUCCGGACAUUCCUUCAUCUAUCACCCCGGUGCCACACUGCCAUGAGCUCCCCGUACCCACUCCUCCGGAGCGAGAGCAGCCGUCUCUAGAAGAGAGCGGCAAGUCAGUGAGCGAGGAAGACGUUGUAGAUCCAGAUGACAAUUUCAGAGGUGGAGUUGAGGAGAGAAACCCAUACUACCCCAACCAAAAAAACCUCAACGACUUGAUCAGAGAUCUUGGUCUCACCAAGUCCGAUGCCGAGCUUUUGACGUCUAGGCUCAAACAGUGGAACUUGUUGGAUAAAUUGUGCAAGUCGCAGAUCAGAGGAAGCGUCACCAACCUUUAGCAGCUUCUUCACCCGUCAAGAUGGGAUUUGCUUCGACCACAAUGUGACCAGUCUGUUCGAGGCAAUCGGAAUCGCCUGUAACCAGAACGAGUGGCGCCUUUUCAUUGACAGCUCAUCCAGGAGCCUCAAAGCCGUGCUGCUCCAUAAUGGUAACAAGUACCCGUAUCUUCCCCUGGCUCACUCGGUACACCUCAAAGAGGAUUACAACAGCAUCAAGACCUUGCUGGACGCCUUGAAGUAUGAUGAGUACGGCUGGGAGGUCAUCAGAGACUUGAAAAUGGUGGCAUUCCUGAUGGGUCUUCAAGGCGGUUUACCAAGUUUCCCUGCCAUCUUUGCCUUUGGGACAGCAGGGACACCAAGGCGCACUACCACAGGCGGGACUGGCCACAGCGGACCGAGUUCUCUGUGGGGAGGAACAACGUCAAGUGGGAGCCACUGGUGGACACCCGGAAGGUGCUGAUGCCACCACUGCACAUCAAAUUGGGCCUUAUGAAACAAUUUGUCAGAGCUGUAGAUAAGGAGUCGGCAGCCUUCAAGAACCUUCAAUACUUUUCCCUAAGCUGUCUGAGGUAAAGGUCAAAGCCGGUGUCUUCGUCGGACCACAGAUAAAGAAGAUCCUGGAGUGCAAUGAAUUCCCCAAGAAGCUCACUAGUAAGGAGAAAGCAGCUUGGGACAGCUUUGUCGCAGUGGUUCGUGGCUUCCUGGGCAAUCACGAGGUCGAAAUCUAUGUGGAGCUGGUUGAGACUUGUGAAGAACUACGGCGCAAUGGGCUGUAGGAUGAGCAUCCUUGAUGCUCAUCUUGAUAAAUUCAAGGAGAACAUGGGAGCGUACUCGGAGGAGCAAGGCGAGCGCUUCCACCAGGAUAUACUGGACUUUAAACGCCGCUACCAAGGACAGUAUAACGAGAACAUGAUGGGAGACUACAUUUGCGGUCUGAUUCGUGAAAGUGAUUUACAGUAUAAUCGUAAAUCUCGAAAACCAUUCACUUCUAAAUCUUUUGUAGUCAUUUGUGUAUUACUUUAGUAUAAAUACAUGUUAAUUUAGAUUAAUGUUGUUUUUUCUGACUUUAUGUGAACGAAAAGACACAAUUUAACACGUAGGCUUUCGCGACCAAUAUUAUUCUGGCGAAUUGCCCGAUGAUGUUGGAUGCAAUUACCAGCGAAACGUCGUACUCAAAUUGUAAAUGUUGUGGUUUCACGCUUCAACACACCGGUGGGCAAAAGCAGUGAACUAUUUGUCUUUUGUAAACGUGACACUUUUUUACUGAUUGGCCGUGUCGGGUGGUGGAGGGUUACGACACAUUUAUAAAUAACGCGAUCUAAACCCAAAAACAUUGAUUAUGAAAAGACACAAAUUCGCCCAUUUUUUCAUUGUAAAUAGGUAAAUUAAAAAAUAUCACUGUCCUGGUCACAAAAGCAAAGUUUGUGGGGAAUAAUCGCCAAUUUCCAUACAUUUUUGGCAUAAGCAAUUACGAAAUAACACUGACUACCCAGGAACAAAAAUUGUGUCACAUCGUGUAAUGAUGUGUGUAUGGUGAUGCUGAUGUGUAUGAUGAUGGUGUGUAGGAUUUGUGUAUGAUGAUGUGUGUAUGAUGAUGGUGUGUGUAUGAUGGUGGUGUAUAUGAUGAUGAUGUGUGUAUGAUGAUGUGUGUAUUAUGAAGAUGUGUAUGAUGGUAAUAAUGUGUGUAUGAUGAGCAUCAUGAUGUGUGUAUGAUGAUGGUGUUUGUAUGGUGGUAAUGUGUGUAUGAUGAUCAUCAUGGUGUGUGUGAUGAUGGUGUGUGUAUGAUGAAGGAGAUGAUGAUGAUGCAGCGUGCGAUGAUGUUUGAGCCAGUCACUGGCACUGGACAGGGGACGACAGGACGACUCGUUCUCCUUUCGACAAGGCGAUCAUAUCGUGAAUAACCUACACCCAGUUGUCGAUCCACUGCUGGAUAAAGGCCUCCCCACACCACGCCGGUCAAUGCGGGUUGGUGAUGAACAGAGUGAACCAAAAUGGGACCUUUUUUGCCAAUAUCAGAAUAUGAAAAAAUAAGAACAGGUUUAACCCUUUCUGGAAAUACAACCGGUGGUAAGAUGUUCAAACACCAAACAGAAACCUUCUUGCAAGGAAUCAAGUCUGCAUUAACCACGUGUACUUCCGGUGACCUUGCAAACCAACAUGCUCUGAUAUUAUUUGGCAUUGUCUUUGAAUCUGAUUGGUCUACACCAAAGACACAGAAGCCUUCUCUAUAGCCGAGUCUCACCGGUGUCAGAUCAGAGAACGCCAAAAGGCGUCCAGUAUGUACAUACAAAUGUACGACGAAAAUGACUCGAUUGGUAUAUGCAGACAGCAACGUCGCCCCUGUAGUACCGGCAGGACCCUCCUGAAAAAAAAUCUUGAGACUCAGUGAAGCUUCGCUGGUCGAACAAAAGCAAAGAGAUGUCCCGUCGCCCUCUUUACUGAAACCAUCAUCGGUGGUGAUCUAUCCACUGCUGGAUGACGGUCUCCGCAAGCUAUGCGAUGUGACAAUCCACCCAGACCACACUGAUUUCAUCGCUCCAUCUCCACGAUGGAGGCCCACUACCGGGUGUGAAUUCCAAUUUGUCUGUCACUUCAUGCAAAGUAUUUGACCUUCAUACUCAUACACCCAUUCACUCUCCCACCGAGCCACUCGCUCACUCACCCACUCACUCUCCCACCGGCCCACUCGCUCACCUCCUCACCCACCCAAUUGCCAUAGCUUUGCGGUCCUCUAUAUGUGAAGGUGUUCUCGGGCAAUUGGCGACUACGCGUGUGGGAGAAAACCUUGAGCAGCUGGAGAAACCUUGAGGAGAUGAGAAAACCCACGCGGUGCGAGGGGGCAACACUCCAUCCCAUACAGACGGAACAGGUCGUGUCCACACUCUGCUGGGAAUCGAGUCUUGCAAUGUCUGCGUGUGAUCCGCCAACCCGAGCUGCUGCCUCCACAAGUGCCGCAUCACAUGGGCACUGCAGUGGCCACCACCACCAUCGAGCUAUAGACAUCCCUACAGCGAAUAA